rnacentral:rRNA from 1 species
GUGCCAGCCGCCGCGGUAAUACGUAGGUGGCAAGCGUUGUCCGGAAUUAUUGGGCGUAAAGAACGCGUAGGCGGGAUAAUAAGUCUGUUCUCAAAGUUCGGAGCUCAACUCCGUGAUGGAAUGGAAACUGUUAUUCUUGAGUGCAGGAGAGGAAAGUGGAAUUCCCAGUGUAGCGGUGAAAUGCGUAGAUAUUGGGAGGAACACCAGUGGCGAAGGCGACUUUCUGGACUGUGUCUGACGCUGAGGCGUGAAAGCUAGGGUAGUGAACGGGAUUAGAUACCCCGGUAAUCCUAGCCGUAAACGAUGGGUACUAGGUGUAGAGGGUAUCGACCCCUUCUGUGCCGGAGUUAACGCAAUAAGUACCCCGCCUGGGGAGUACGGCCGCAAGGUUGAA